GACGAACGCUGGCGGCGUGCUUAACACAUGCAAGUCGAACGGAAAGGCCCUGCUUUUGUGGGGUGCUCGAGUGGCGAACGGGUGAGUAACACGUGAGUAACCUGCCCUUGACUUUGGGAUAACUUCAGGAAACUGGGGCUAAUACCGGAUAGGAGCUCCUGCUGCAUGGUGGGGGUUGGAAAGUUUCGGCGGUUGGGGAUGGACUCGCGGCUUAUCAGCUUGUUGGUGGGGUAGUGGCUUACCAAAGCUUUGACGGGUAGCCGGCCUGAGAGGGUGACCGGCCACAUUGGGACUGAGAUACGGCCCAGACUCCUACGGGAGGCAGCAGUGGGGAAUAUUGCACAAUGGGCGGAAGCCUGAUGCAGCAACGCCGCGUGCGGGAUGACGGCCUUCGGGUUGUAAACCGCUUUCGCCUGCGACGAAGCGUGAGUGACGGUAAUGGGUAAAGAAGCACCGGCUAACUACGUG
rnacentral:rRNA from 1 species